rnacentral:rRNA from 1 species
CUGACGCUUAGGCUUGAAAGUGUGGGGAGCAAAUAGGAUUAGAUACCCUAGUAGUCCACACUGUAAACGAUGGAUGUUAAGUGUCGGAGCGAAUACUUCGGUGCUGCAGUUAACACAUUAAACAUCCUGCCUGAGUAGUACAUUCGCAAGAAUGAAACUCAAACGGAAUUGACGGGGACCCGCACAAGUGGUGGAGCAUGUUGCUUAAUUCGACGGUACACGAAAAACCUUACCUAGACUUGACAUCUUGGGCGAAGCUAUAGAAAUAUAGUGGAGGUCAACCCAAUGACAGGUGGUGCAUGGUUGUCGUCAGCUCGUGUCGUGAGAUGUUGGGUUAAGUCCCGCAACGAGCGCAACCCUUAUCGUUAGUUACUUUGUCUAACGAGACUGCCAACGUAAGUUGGAGGAAGGUGGGGAUGACGUCAAAUCAUCAUGCCCCUUAUGUCUAGGGCUGCAAACGUGCUACAAUGGCCAAUACAAACAGUUGCAAAU